rnacentral:rRNA from 1 species
UACGUAGGGGGCAAGCGUUGUCCGGAAUCAUUGGGCGUAAAGAGCGUGUAGGCGGCCCGGUAAGUCCGCUGUGAAAGUCGGGGGCUCAACCCUGGAACUGCCAUUGAUACUGACGGGCUUGAGUUCGGUUAAGGCGGGCGGAACUGGUGGUGUAGCGGUGAAAUGCAUAGAUACCACCAAGAACCCCGAUUGCGUAGGCAGCUCGCUGAGCCGAAACUGACGCUGAGGCACGAAAGCGUGGGGAGCGAACAGG